AUUGAACGCUGGCGGCAGGCCUAACACAUGCAAGUCGAGCGGAUGAAGGGAGCUUGCUCCUGGAUUCAGCGGCGGACGGGUGAGUAAUGCCUAGGAAUCUGCCUGGUAGUGGGGGAUAACGUCCGGAAACGGGCGCUAAUACCGCAUACGUCCUGAGGGAGAAAGUGGGGGAUCUUCGGACCUCUCGGUCUCAGAUGAGCCUAGGUGGGAUUAGCUAGUUGGUGGGGUAAAGGCCUACCAAGGCGGCGAUCCGUAACUGGUCUGAGAGGAUGAUCGGUCACACUGGAACUGAGACACGGUCCAGACUCCUACGGGAGGCAGCAGUGGGGAAUAUUGGACAAUGGGCGAAAGCCUGAUCCAGCCAUGCCGCGUGUGUGAAGAAGGUCUUCGGAUUGUAAAGCACUUUAAGUUGGGAGGAAGGGCAGUAAGUUAAUACCUUGCUGUUUUGACGUUACCAACAGAAUAAGCACCGGCUAACUUCGUG
rnacentral:rRNA from 1 species